UUGAUCCUGCCGGACCCUACUGCUAUCGGGGUGGGACUAAAACAGGCGAGUCGAACGACUUCUAGCCAUGAUGAAGUCGUGGCAUACGGCUCAGUAACACGUGGCUAACCUACCCUUGAGACGGAGACAACCCCGGGAAACUGGGGCUAAUCCCAGAUAGAUGAGAACUCCUGGAACGGGUUCUCGUCCAAAGGGCGUCUAGGUCAUGCUUCUAGGCGUCGCUCAAGGAUGGGGCCGCGGCCGAUCAGGCUGUUGGUGAGGCAACGGCUCACCAAACCUUUAACCAGUACGGGCCGUGGGAGCGGGUGCCCGGAGAUGGGAACUGAGACAAGGUCCCAGGCCCUACGGGGCGCAGCCGUUGCGAAAACUCGUCAAUGCACGAAAGUGUGAACGGGCUACCCCGAGUGCCGUCCGCUGAGGAUGGCUUUUCUCUGCUGUAAGAAGGCGGAGGAAUAAGGAGAGGGCAAGUCUGGUGUCAGCCGCCGCGGUAAUACCAGCUCUCCGAGUGGUAGGGAUGAUUAUUGGGCUUAAAGCGUCCGUAGCCGGCCUUUCAAGUCUUUCGUUAAAUCCAGCGACUAAUCGUUGGACUGCGGGAGAUACUGUUUGGCUAGGGGGCGGGAGAAGCCGACGGUAUUCUUGGGGUAGGGGUAAAAUCCUAUAAUCCCAGGAAGACCACCAGUGGCGUAGGCGGUCGGCUAGCACGCGCUCGACGGUGAGGGACGAAAGCUGGGGGAGCGAACCGGAUUAGAUACCCGGGUAGUCCCAGCUGUAAACGAUGCGGGCUAGGUGUUGGAGCGGCUACGAGCCGCUUCAGUGCCGCAGGGAAGCCAUUAAGCCCGCCGCCUGGGGAGUACGGCCGCAAGGCUGAAACUUAAAGGAAUUGGCGGGGGAGCACCACAAGGGGUGAAGCUUGCGGUUUAAUUGGAUUCAACGCCGG
rnacentral:rRNA from 1 species